UACAGAGGGGGGCAAGCGUUAUUCGGAAUUAUUGGGCGUAAAGGGCGCGUAGGCGGUCUUGCAAGUCCUGUGUGAAAUCCCUCGGCUCAACUGAGGAACUGCACAGGAAAACUGCUUGGCUUGAGUUCGGGAGAGGGAAGCGGAAUUCCGGGUGUAGCGGUGGAAAUGACGUAGAUAUCCGGAGGAACACCGGUGGCGAAGGCGGCUUCCUGGACCGACACUGACGCUGAGGCGCGAAAGCUAGGGGAGCAAACGGG
rnacentral:rRNA from 1 species